rnacentral:rRNA from 1 species
UACGGGGGGGGCAAGCGUUGUUCGGAAUUACUGGGCGUAAAGGGCUCGUAGGCGGCCAACUAAGUCGGACGUGAAAUCCCCAGGCUCAACCUGGGAACUGCGUCCGAUACUGGAUGGCUUGAAUCCGGGAGAGGGAUGCAGAAUUCCAGGUGUAGCGGUGAAAUGCGUAGAUAUCUGGAGGAAUACCGGUGGCGAAGGCGGCUCUCUGGGACGGUACUGACGCUGAGACGCGAAAGCGUGGGGAGCGAACAGG